rnacentral:rRNA from 1 species
GAUGAACGCUGGCGGCGUGCCUAAUACAUGCGAGUCGAGCGAACAGACGAGGAGCUUGCUCCUCUGACGUUAGCGGCGGACGGGUGAGUAACACGUGGAUAACCUACCUAUAAGACUGGGAUAACUUCGGGAAACCGGAGCUAAUACCGGAUAAUAUAUUGAACCGCAUGGUUCAAUAGUGAAAGACGGUUUUGCUGUCACUUAUAGAUGGAUCCGCGCCGCAUUAGCUAGUUGGUAAGGUAACGGCUUACCAAGGCAACGAUGCGUAGCCGACCUGAGAGGGUGAUCGGCCACACUGGAACUGAGACACGGUCCAGACUCCUACGAGAGGCAGCAGUAGGGAAUCUUCCGCAAUGGGCGAAAGCCUGACGGAGCAACGCCGCGUGAGUGAUGAAGGUCUUCGGAUCGUAAAACUCUGUUAUUAGGGAAGAACAAAUGUGUAAGUAACUAUGCACGUCUUGACGGUACCUAAUCAGAAAGCCACGGCUAACUACGUG